GAAUCGAUUGGAUUCAGAUUUUUUAGGGUUUCAAAUAGUGAUAAUCGGUUAUAAAGUUAGGGUUUUUAAUUUGUAGUUUGGGUUUUAGUGGUUUAUUUGAUGAUUUUGUGGUUUGUUUUUCAGGAUAUAGACUGGAUCGAGUUUUACCGCUGAGUUAUGAAGCUAACUAGGUUAUAGACUGAAUCGAGUUCUACCGCUGAGUUUGAAGCUAACAAGGUCUGAAUAAACACCAGUUCAAACGUAACAACUGUUAUCGCCUUUGUGAAGUUAGCGCUGACCAAUUUCUUGCAGAAAUUGAAGAGAAGCUGAGGAGUUUGUUUCCAACAAGUGGGCUUUUUCCAGGUAUAUAUGGAAUUAUUGAUUAAUGGUGUAGAAUCGUAUUUUAAUGUUCUUCUAUUUGAUGCAGUUUUUUUAUUAUUGCUUCUCUACAUACAUCUUGGAUAUGGUUCAUCACUUCCUUAGUUUUAUUGUUUUUGUUUCUGCUGUAUGGCAAUGCUUCUUAGUUUUGGAGAGGCUGUUGCCAGAAGCAAUAGGUCACCUGAAAAACUGCUUAUUCUUCUCGACAUGUACGAGAUAAUGAGAAAGGUGGGGAAGAUGCUUUUUUGUGAGCAACUAUAAUGGAGGAGUUAUUGUUGUUGCCGAUGGUGUCUCUGGGUAACUUACUUUCUCACUAACUUCAAUUUUAUAGAAUUAAUUGUUAGUUUCAGCUUUGCUAUUAUACAUCAUAUUGAGAUAUCGUUUUCGGAUAAUUUGUUUCAACAUGUUUUUGUGUUAU